AAUAGGAAGAGGAAGAAAAGAGGGCCUAAGAGCAAUGGGCAUGGGAUAAUAAUGGAAGGCUAAAGAUCUCGCCUCUAAGUUCCUUGCGUAAAAUGGAUAGGGGUCAUGGUUCAGUUAUCAUGAUGCCUCUCAUGCCUAUUGUUCUUUGGCACUCUUUCCUCUUCCUUUUGGGG
rnacentral:pre_miRNA from 1 species